AGAAUAGUGGAGGUAGCAACUAUAAACUGACAUUUGGAAAAGGAACUCUCUUAACCGUGAAUCCAA